GACAGAGGGUGCAAACGUUGUUCGGAAUUACUGGGCGUAAAGCGUGUGUAGGCGGCUAGGUAAGUCGGAUGUGAAAGCCCCGGGCUCAACUCGGGAAGUGCACUCGAUACUGCUUAGCUCGAGUACCGGAGAGGUUGGUGGAAUUCUCGGUGUAGAGGUGAAAUUCGUAGAUAUCGAGAGGAACACCGGUGGCGAAGGCGGCCAACUGGACGAGUACUGACGCUGAGACACGAAAGCCAGGGGAGCGAACGGG
rnacentral:rRNA from 1 species